rnacentral:rRNA from 1 species
GAUGAACGCUAGCGGCAGGCUUAAUACAUGCAAGUCGAGGGGCAGCACGAGUAGCAAUACUUGGUGGCGACCGGCGCACGGGUGCGUAACGCGUAUGCAACCUACCUAUAACUAAGGCAUAGCUCAGAGAAAUCUGGAUUAAUACCUUAUAAUAUCAAAUUUAGGCAUCUAAAAUUGAUUAAAGUUCAGACGGUUAUAGAUGGGCAUGCGUGACAUUAGCUAGUUGGUAAGGUAACGGCUUACCAAGGCUACGAUGUCUAGGGGUUCUGAGAGGAUACACCCCCACACUGGUACUGAGACACGGACCAGACUCCUACGGGUGGCAG